UUAUUUAAAUGGCCGCGGUACUUUGACCGUGCAAAGGUAGCAUAAUCAUUUGUCUCUUAAUUGGAGGCUAGUAUGAAUGGUUAAAUGAAGAGUUUACUUUAAAAUCUAAUUUUAUGAAUUUAAUUUUUGAGUCAAAAAGCUUAAAUUUUAUUAUGGGACGAGAAGACCCUAUAGAACUUUAUUUCUUUAUCUUUUAAUGUUUUCUGGUGAAUUUUUAUUUUAAACUUUCAAGGGAUUUGGUUGGGGCGACUUUGAGAAUUUAUUAACUCUCAUAUAUUUGGUUUUCACUAAUGAGUGUGAUUUUGAUCCAUUAUAAUGAUUAAUAGUUUAAGUUACCUUAGGGAUAACAGCGUAAUUUAUUUAGAGAGUUCAUAUCGAUAAAUAAGUUUGCGA
rnacentral:rRNA from 1 species